rnacentral:lncRNA from 1 species
GCGAACCCCGUCCGUUUACCUUCUUUGCACACGAGCAGGGCCCCGACGAGGCCCGAGUUCAGGUCCCUCACGAGGUCCACAUGAGACAGAUGGGAGAGACACUGACUUACCCUCGGACGCCUUCCAGAAGGACAUACCGACAGCGUGGAGACUGACGGGAUGAGAAGCCAUGUUUUUGAGUGUGAUGACCACAGUGUCGUGAACCUCGGUCCAAAUGGUGGGGCCUAGGAGACCUGGUAAAGUGAGAAAACAAAUGAGAAUAAAACAUGUAAUUCUGGUCACUAUAA